GGGCAGGAAGUGCAGGCUGGCUCCAUGUUCAAGGACAGCUUCGCCAAGAGCCCAAAGCUGGCCUGAGACAUCCUACGUGCCUGGCCCUGGUUCCUUGAGAUGGCGUGUGGGGACGGGGUGCAGAGCUGGGUGGACUGGGUGCCUUUGGAUUGGAUGGCCACAGAACAUCUGACUCUAAGUGAAGCCCAAGCCUGAGCCUGGCCGAUGGGCAGCCGUGGGGAGAACACUGUGGUCCUCAGAGAUGGCUCGGGCUGGAGAGGAUCUCUAGGGCACCCUGAGCUCUGAAGCACCGCGAUUCUACUUCCAGUGCAAGAGCGGGCCCUCUUACAGCCAGCCAGAGGGGCCUGGAAAUCUGACGUUCCACAGAACUAGCCCGAAGGAAGAAGCAAAACAGAACACCCUCAGCUACUCCCUGUUGGGUUCCGGACUCCACACAGGUGAACAAGCAGCUGGUGCCAGUGUUUGGAGGGAGGCUGGGUGGCAGAGAGGCAGGAAGGGGAGGCCCUGGCAGUGUCCUGAGCGGGAACCGGCAGGUCUGGCUUGGAGAGGUGGAGGCUUGGCCCUCAAGGGCCUGUGCAUGGGCCUCAUGUGCUGGACGAGGCAGGCCCAGCUGACUUGCUGGUGGUGGCCUGAGGUUAAUAGUCAAAGGGGACUGACCUCCCAGUAUCCACCAGGGAGAGCUGGGUGAGCAGUGAAUGUCACUUGGAAACAGAGAGGGGUGGUUUGCAGCUCGGGUGACUGGAAGGAGCCCCGCCCUUCUCUGGAGCUUGCCAUUCCCAGGGGUCCUACAACCUUGGGGUGGAGAAACCCAGGCCAACGGAGCAGCGGUCACCCCGCUGGUGGGUAGAGAGGGAGAGAGACAGCAGGAUGGCUAAGUCCAUGUCUUGAUGGGGGUUUGAGUCACACAGGCAUAUGCACUUGCCAAGACUCAGUGAAUGUGUAAAAUCUGUGCAUUUCUUCACCAGUCAAUUGUAAUUUUUUAAAAAUAUUUUUUUUAGUUGCAUAUGGACACAAUACCUCUAUUUUAUUUUUAUGUGUUGCUGAGGAUCAAACCCAGUGCCUCACAUGUGCAAGGCAAGUGCUCUACCACUGAGCUACAACCGCAGCUCUGUCAAUUUUAUAUUGGAAGGAAAAACCCUGUAAACAAACGUUGACCGCGAGCUAACACUAAGCAUGGUAGGUGUCAGGAAGGGUACUGAUGCCUGCAAUUUGCUUUGUUCUGGGUUGAAAUGUCAAGGUGGGUGGACGGGUGGAAGGAUAGGAGACGACUGACUGACAGCUACCUGACCCAACAGGGGAGGAGGACAGGGGCAGAGACUCUGAGCAGUGGGUGGGACCCUCACCACAGACUCUCUAGGCUUUGCUGGAGUCUGCAAUGUCCAUGACAAGGUACUGGGGCAGCAGGCCUCUGGUCCCCUGCAGUAAUGCCUGCUGUCUGUCUAUUCCCACUUAGCGAGCUCCUCCUGCCCCACAGCCCCAGCCCUUGACCGCUGGCCUCCACUGGACUGGGUGUCGUGUGCCAGCUGGCACUCAAUUAAACAAGGAGGAAGCUGGCUGACCUGGGCACCAGGCUCUGUGCAAAAGGGAAGCCGAGGUGAGUCAAGCGCCUCCUCGUGCCAGGAAUGCCGUGUGUGUCCUCAUCACCGCCUGCACAGGGCCUUCCGUGAGGCCCCCUGCUCUGCCCCUUGC
rnacentral:lncRNA from 1 species